rnacentral:rRNA from 1 species
GAUGAACGCUGGCGGCGUGCCUAAUACAUGCAAGUCGAGCGAACAGACGCGGAGCUUGCUCCUCUGACGUUAGCGGCGGACGGGUGAGUAACACGUGGAUAACCUCCCUAUCAGACUGGGAUCACUUCGGGAAACCGGAGCUAAUCCCGGAUAAUAUCUUGAACCGCAUGGUUCGAUAGUGAAAUACGGUUUUUCUGUCACUUAUAGAUGGAUCCGCGCCGCUUUAGCUAGUUGGUAAGGUAACGGCCUACCAAGGCAAGGAGGCGUAGCCGACCUGAGAGGGGGAUCGGCCACACGAGAACGGAGACACGGACCAGACUCCUACGGGAGGCAGCAGUAGGGAAUGUUCGGCAGUGGGCGGAAGCAUGACGGAGCAAGGGCGCGUGAGUGAUGAAGGUCUUCGGAUCGUAAAACUCUGUUAUUAGGGAAGAACAAAUGUGGAAGUAACUAUGCACGGAUUGACGGUAACUAAUCAGAAAGCCACGGCUAACUACGUG